CCCCCAUGGCCAUGGGCAAAGAAACACCUUAUUGGUGGUGUGGUGCUUACAUGAGUCAGGGGUCAGAAAAAACGGCAGUUUGCUUAUCCUAGUUUGAUGUUUGGCUUGGUGACCAAAAUUGUUUUAUGACUUUGACACAUAA